rnacentral:lncRNA from 1 species
GUGGAACAAACAGGCGUGCUCACCCACCGUGCGCAUACUCCCUGCAGCACACACGCUUACGGAUAGAGCGCUCACGCCGUGCCGACGUCACAGGUAUUUGUGAAGGGGGCGGGGGACGCAGACAGGAAUCCGCCCGAGCUCGUGGGGAUGACGUUCUACUGGGGAGACGGAGACAUGGAUGGUGACAUGUGUGGCAGGGGCUCUCUUGUCUUCAGGAUGGCAUCACUGCCGUUUCUGGAACGAGGAAAUGCCGCCACACCUCACUGAAGAGGAGACUAGGAGAGGGCUGAGGUCUGUGAACAGGGUGUUAGCAGAAACUGCCCCGGACCCAGAAGGGACAUGCAGGCCUUGGUCCUGCUAA